UGAGUAGACCGGAUGGUCGCGGACGAAGUGCUGAAAAGCCUCGUACGAGGAAAGUCCGGGCUCCAUAGGGCAAAGGUGCCGGAUAACAUCCGGUGAAGGCGACUUUAAGGAAAGUGCAACAGAAAUAAACCGCCAGGUUGAAGUUAGGGGUAAGAAUUGAGAAGUCUCUUACUUCUUACUUCUCACCUCCAACUUCCAAUCUGGUAAGGAUGGAAAGGUGAGGUAAGAGCUCACCGGCCCGACGGCAACGAAGGGUGCUAUGUAAACCCCACCUGGAGCAACACCGUGAUAAGAAACAUUAGGGUUGCCCGCCCGUUUCUUAGAGGUGGCUAAAGCCUGGUAGCAAUACCAGGCGUAGAUAGAUGACCAUUCAAGACAGAACCCGGCUUACAGGUCUGCUCAUUUU
rnacentral:RNase_P_RNA from 1 species